AGCUUGGAGAACAUUUCUGUCAUUGUAGAAAUUUUGAUUAUAAAGUACUGUUCUAGAGCAGGGAUUAGGCAAAACUUCCAUAAAGGUGCCAAAUAUUUUAGGCUUGUGGGCCAUAUAAGUCAGAAAUACGCUGCAGUUGUAGUGCAAAAGCAGCCAGACAAUCGCUCAGUAAAUGACUGGUUUAAUAAACAUGAAAAUUGGAAUUUUAAAUUGCCACAUCACAAAAUAUUCUUUUGAUUGCAUUGGAAUGGCUUAGUCAGUGUAUAUGCAUUUUUAAAUUUAAAAACUAGAUUGCAGGACCAGUCCUGUAGCUGACUGGUUAAGUUUGCACACUCUGCUUUGGUGGCCCAGGGUUUUGCUGGUUCAGAUCCUGGGCAUGGACAUGGCACCACUCAUCAAGCCAUGCUGAGGCAUACCAUGUCCGGGCCCAGGAUUCGAGCCAAUGAAACACUGGGCCGCCUGCAGCGGAGCGCGCAAACUUAACCACUCAGCCACGGGGCCAGCUCCCAUAAACUUAGUUUUCUUUAGGAGAAUUAUCUUUAUGUUGAAAUUUCUUGGACAUGGCAUGACUUAGCAUUUAAGGUCUUAUUUGUGUUUUAAUGUUUUCUUCAUAUAUAACUUAUACGUGUCUCUAAUUAUUCCUAGCCUUAUUUUCCUCCUAGUUUAUCUUCAAAUUGAUUAGUACCUACUCGAAUACACUAUUUUCAGCUGCCACUCAGCAUUUUUCAAGUAAACUUAAUCUGCAAGUGAUUUUUACCUCUUUUCCCACUUAAACAUUUUUCUUCUCUUGCCUAACUGCCUUUGCUAGUAACUUUGAACACAGCUUUCUCUUUUUUAAUAAGAACAUUUCUAGGAUUUCCCUAUUAAGCAUCACACAGGCUUUUGGAAUAAGAUAAAUUUGAUCAGGUUAGGAAUCUCGACUCUGUGAUUUUAGCAAAUGUUUUAGCAUGGAGGGAGAUUAUAUAUCUUAUUGAGAUCAACUGCAAAUAUUCUUGGUGUAUUCUUAAAAUAGUCUAGGAAUGACUUUUCUGUGUUGUAUUAUUAUAUAAUUGUUUGCCUAUAAUGUGUAUCUACUAAAGUCUUUAUGCCCCUAAUUUAGCAGGUGUUUACUACUAUAUAUACAAAACUAACAAGGAACCCAACUUUACUUACGUCCUAAAUUCUUGAGGAAUUUUUAAAUGUCUUUAAAUCUUCUGACCCUCAUUGAACCCAUAGUUUAGUAGGACAAAGACUGAAGAAUUUUAAUAAAAUGUGAUAAACCCUAUGAUAGGGCAAGACUAGGGGUGGGGAUGUGACUCUCUAAGGCCUUCCAGCAGGGACAUUUUAAAAAACCUAAGAGACUCAUGGGUGAUAUGAGGAAGAAUGAUGUAGAUGGGACUCCUUUUAAAGCAAGGCCAAAAGGAAUGUCUGUAUAUGGUCUCUGUAUGUUUUAAGAGCACAAGGAAGCUUCCUCAAGCUACAGCAAGAGUGGCAAAGAUGCUGAUGGCCUGAAACAAGGUAUUUGGCAUUUGUGAUACGUGUAUGAGACCAGAAAAAGACAGGCAUUUCAGCAGGCCCUGAAAGAUGUUACUGUGAUUGAGGUUGAUGACUGAAAAAGACAAGUAGAUAUUUGUGCCUGUUAGUUGGAAAGACUUGGCGGCACUAUGUAUGAAAGCUCCAAACCAACCACUAGCUUUUGAGUCAGAUUUAUUGAACACCACAGUAGUUCCUGGAUCCACUAACCAUGUGACCUUGGGCAAAUAACAGCAUGUACCUUGUAGAGUUGUUGAGAGGAUAAACAGAUGUGUAGAAUGAAUUUAAUAGUUCUGGCACAUGGUCAACAUGCACUAAAUAUUGUCAAUAUUCUAUGGUGCCACAGGACCUGCAGCAUAUUUACAUGAAUAUCCUAAAAUGACAAAACCAUAGAUUCAAAGAUUAUUCAUUUUUAUAGAGCCCCAGAGUAAACAUGUUAAAAUUACUCACUUAAAUCUGGUUAUAAGUUUUAUCCUGGUACCUAUUCAUCAGCGCAAUGACUGCUAGUAAGAGAGGCUAUGCAAGCUAUAAUUUAUACACAAAGAUGUUUUACUAAUUUUCUUAACUAUAAAGACAUUUAUAGAUUACCAAAAAAAGAAAAUCCCACAUUAUUUUAGUUAACAGAUGUCUCAAAUUUGAACAAAUUCUCUGCAAAUCCACUAUGUUCAUUUAAUACUUUUUCAAGCUAAAUUUAGUGUCAAAUAUUUGUGCACUAUAUUAUAUCUUUAGGGUCCACUAGCAAAUGAUUAGGAAAUCUGACACUUGUUUCUAUGAUUUUUCUGUUUCAAAAUUUUUUAAAAAGAACAAAACCAGCAAUCUCUUUAUCCUCAUUUACUGGGGUAUUAUUAAAAAACAGGAUAUGCCUAUGGCCUUACUCUAUUUUGGGUACAUUAUGACACACAGACAUUAAUAUUUACCAGCUGAGGCCCUUUAAUCAGUUGUCAGUAGAAUUGAACCUGCUUGGCCAUAGGGGAAUGAGGUAAAUCUUUAGAAGCUGGUGAAUACCAGCUUUUCAAAGGACUCUUACAUGGCAGCUGACUUUCUAGCUCUGUGGUAAAACAGUGCAAUUACACAUAUAAUGGGUGCUCAGUCAGGAAAGGUGGCUUCUCUGCAGAAGUGCUGUCUGAGCCGAGAUCUCAAAUUAGACAAAGUAGAGAAGAUGGACCCAGACAGAAACAGCAUGCGCAGAGACCUCGUAGUAAAAGGCUUAUCAAGGACUGAAAGAAACCAAGGUGGCAAAGAUGAGGCGAGAGAGAUAAAGGCUAGACUGUACAUAUUAAGGUGAGCAGAGAAUGUGUUUGUUCAUCACUUAUCCCCAAUGUCUAACAGAAUUCAGUUAAUAAAACUAAUAAACCGAUAAAGGGUAUCUAUUAAAUGACCAGUUUGACAAGAUGAGUAAUUACCAUAGGCUAUUGCCUCUUCCUCUAACUCAGCCCUGGAGGUAUUACACAAAUAAGAGGGAAGUUAGAGAUCUGAGAAAUUAAAUAUGAAGAGUCCCUUGGAGAAACAGAUCAUGAUUGGGUCCCACUAUACAAGGGCAAGAAAUGGAAGUCCAGUGUAGAAAAGGGUAGAGUGCCAUGGGAGUAGGGGUAAUCUUGGUGGUGACGAAACUUCUGUUCUUUUCCCCUAUCCUAUUCAUUGCCUCAUGUUCAACUCAUCACUUGCUGGAGUGGCCAGCAUAAUGCAACCUUACUUACUAGCACCUGGAGUUCUUGAGAGAAUUGCAACUGAGGGGAAGGAGAAGCAGUUUGACCAUCUGCUGCUCUGGUGAAGCCCUGAUUCUAACUCAGAGGUUCUGUGCCUUAAGGCUCUCUCUCUUCUCCUUCAACUCUUUAGGACACCAGGGCCUGGGCUUGGCUCCUCUCUACCGGCAGCUGACACAAAAUUCCCAUCCUCUACUGUGAGCUCAUAGGGUAAAAAUAAUCAGUCAUCUGGGAACUACAGCAUCUGCUAUAAAAGACAACAGCUCAACCACUAUUCUAGAUGAAAGAGAAUAAACAAAGACCAUAGAAUAAAAUGUCAUUAUUAAAAGUGGAACAUUUAUAGAAUAUAGGGGGCUAUAAACUAAGGAUCCUGGUUAGGAUCCUUAUAUAUGCAUACAUAUAUACUUCAGUGUUCUAUCAGCUGAUAGGGCCUAGAAGCAACAAAACCUCAGUACCAAGAGCACAUCUAGUGCCCAGAUCUUGGUUCCUUAGUAUUAUUCUCCAAUAAAGGAAGCAGGGCUCCUUGUGAUGACUUUAUUCCCAAAGAGUACAGUGUUGGGUGAGGGGGAGUAACUUUACAGUGGAGAAAACUGGCAAAUAAGACCUCAGCCAGGUGAUCAAGAUUAACAUCAAUAGGAGAAAAUCAUAUUGAUAGUAUACACUCUUGAUACAUGAUGAGAAUGGCACUUUACUUCUGUGUUCUCUCAAAAUUCCUUAAUGCCUAGCCUAAUCCUGAGAAAAACUCAAUCCUAAUUGAAGGGACUUUUUACAAAACACCUGACCCAAAACUCAAGCUCAUCAAAAACAAAGAAAGUCUAAGAAGCUGUCACAGCCAAGAGGAGUCUAAGGAGACGUGAUGACUAAAUGUAAUAUCCUCAAUGGGAUCCUGGAAGAAAGAACAUUAAGUGAAAACUAAAGAAAUCUGGAUAAGUAUGGACUUUAAUAAUGUAUCGAUAUUAGCCCAUUGUGACAAACGUACUAUGCUAAUAUUAGUGGAAACCGGAUGUGGGGGUACAUGGGAAUUUUUUGUACUAUCCUCCCAACUUUUCUGUAAAUCUACAACUAUUCUAAAAAAAAAAUAAUAAAUUUCAAGGUCCAUUUUCCAGAUGGUAGUUAAGUCCCCUUAACAAGCAGUACAGAAUAUUCCCACACCCCAAAGGCCUUUACUGGAGAACAGGAAGGAACAGAGUAACGGGCUCCACUCCUUUGAACUAGGCCUUAGAAUACUAAAUUGACAAAUACAUGACUCAACAAGUUGGCUCAUUAAAAGUGUUCCUAAAUAUCACUAAAGAGGAAGAAUGUUGCUAAGCAGACAAUUCUAAGUAUUACAGCUGAUUUUUUAAUUCAGUGAAAUUGUUUUCCAAGAGAAUAUUACCUGGAGCUGUUCAUAAAGCCCUAAUUAAGCAACAAGAUUCACUGGAGUCAUUGUCACUCUUUUAAGUUCCCAAUUAGUUGCUCUUACCAGGUUGUUUUCCUUUAUGUGAAUUCCUAGGCACUGAGCCACUUUUUUAUGUGCCUUUGGGACCUGCAGAAUUUAUUCCUCUGGGGUCCUAUUUUCCUGAUUAAAAUGUGAGACAUGAUCCAAAAUUUCAAUGCAACAGUCCAUUGACAGUAGUUUCAACCCUGAAAGAAGGGAGGUAAAUUAUUUACAAUGCCAGGGAUAUCACUCAAUACGUGGGACCCCCUACUCACCCUGCUUUAGUUUUUCCUCUUAAUAUGGUAUAGGACCGGGGCCUGAAACUUGAGCAGAGCAAAAUAGAGGGGCACUUGUGUUUCUUAACUGCUACCUAUGGCAGGAGGUAGCAGCUUGCAUAUUUACAGACCAGAAACCCUGCCAGUCCAGUUUCAAUUUCCAUUGCAGCAUGGGAAAAGGAUGAUAAAGGGAAGGAAUGAAUAAAAAGCUAUUUUGAAAUGUUUUAUAUCAUCCUCUUAGACUUGCCAGGAAAUUAAAAAAAAUCAAGUCAACAGGGAGUAGUCGGUGACUAAUUAACUUCACUUAUCAAGUACAAAAAAACCAUUAAAUUAUUUUAAUAUGCACUAUCAAGCCAUUGAAACCUCUUGGGAUAUUGAAUAUAGGCACAAACACCAAAUGAAUUAUCCCUUUUCAAGUAGGAACACAGGGGCCCCUCUCUGCACCUGGGUAGCCUACCAUAGUCAGAAAGGCAAUCUAUGUU
ensembl:lncRNA